AAGAUAUGAUAUGAUAUGAUUUUUGGUUAGGGGGCUGGACCCCAAAAUACCAUUAUAAAAGAGCAGGAGCACUCAUAGACCACCAAAACACAAUGGGGGAGACAAGAGGAAGGGUCCCACAUGUUCUUCUACUGGCUUUGAUACAAGGUGUGCUGAGCUUCAGUACUGAGAAGGUGCUUCCGUCUGAGAACCCGGCCCUUGCGGGCAACACGGUGACCCUGACGCUGUCUCCGGUCACUCAGCUGCAAAGUGGCAGCUGGACCGUGGGGGACCCUCAGAUCCUGAUCUGGUCGGGGGCCCAGCAGGCCAUGUUCCCGAGCCACAAUGGCAGGGCAUCGGUGGACGUCAGCACGGGGACUCUGACCCUGACCUCCAUCACGGUGGUCGACUCAGGGGUCUAUGUGGUCCAGAGCACCAGCCCUCAGCUCACAGCCACCUCCACCCUCACUGUGAUAGGUGAAUCAGAGACAUCAGCCCAGCUCACUAUUAAAUUAGUUAGAUUAGUCAAAUACUGAAGGCCCUGUGGGUCUAUACUGUAACUACUGUUAAGAUAGCCUAGCUUCCACCAUGACUUGAAGUGUAAUACAACAAUUCUGCCAGUAUAGAAAUACUGGUUCAGUUUGAGUGUGCACCUGUGUGUGAUCGGAAAGUGUACUGCUCAAAAAAAUAAAGGGAACACUUAAACAACACAAUGUAACUCCAAGUCAAUCACACUUCUGUGAAAUCAAACUGUCCACUUAGGAUGCAACACUGAUUGACAAUACAUUUCACAUGCUGUUGUGCAAAUGGAAUAGACAACAGGUGGAAAUUAUAGGCAAUUAGCAAGACACCCCCAAUAAAGGAGUGGUUCUGCAGGUGGUAACCACAGACCACUUCUCAGUUCCAAUGCUUCCUGGCGGAUGUUUUGGUCACUUUUGAAUGCUGGCGGUGCUUUCACUUUAGUGGUAGCAUGAGACGGAGUCUACAACCCACACAAGUGGCUCAGGUAGUGCAGCUCAUCCAGGAUGGCACAUCAAUGCGAGCUGUGGCAAGAAGGUUUGCUGUGUCUGUCAGCGUAGUGUCCAGAGCAUGGAGGUGCUACCAGGAGACAGGCCAGUACAUCAGGAGACGUGGAGGAGGCCGUAGGAGGGCAACAACCCAGCAGCAGGACCGCUACCUCCGCCUUUGUGCAAGGAGGAGCACUGCCAGAGCCCUGCAAAAUGACCUCCUCCAGGCCACAAAUGUGCAUGUGUGCUCAAACGGUCAGAAACAGACUCCAUGAGGGUGGUAUGAGGGCCCGACGUCCACAGGUGGGGGUUGAGCUUACAGCCCAACACCGUGCAGGACGUUUGGCAUUUGCCAGAGAACACCAAGAUUGGCAAAUUCGCCACUGGCGCCCGUGCUCUUCACAGAUGAAAGCAUGUUCACACUGAGCACAUGUGACAGACGUGACAGUCUGGAGACGCCGUGGAGAACGUUCUGCUGCCUGCAACAUCCUCCAGCAUGACC
rnacentral:lncRNA from 8 species